GGGAGGUUUGCCUCGGUUUCAAACAAAACAGCACUAAUGGCACACCAAUGUCUUGGCUGUUGCCAAGUGACAGGGCCAAACUGAGACGUUCAGCAGGGAAAAACCACUGCCUUGACCACACUGCAGAAAGGGAGGGGCAAAGCCAAGAGCUGCAUUAGACCCAGGGUUGUUGCAUGCCACAUGACAGCAUGUGGAGCACUACGGGUAGUUGGUGGGGGGGGUGUGCUGCUGCUCAGGGCUUGCUGAGUGUUGGUCAGUGUGUGGUGAGACCUUGCAUUUCAGGUGGGUUUUUGUAUUAUAGCUAUGUGUCAGUCAGUAAGUAAUUGCAUUGCAGCUAUAUAUAUUGCUAUCAUUGUAUUUUUGUUUCCGUUUUCCUUUUCUGUCUCUAAAGAAUUUUUAUCUCAAUUCAUUAGUUCUUUUUAAUUUUCAGUUCUCUCCUUCAUCCCACCUGGGGAGAGUGAGCAAACAGCUGUAUGGUAUUGAGCUGCCUGUGAACAGGAAGGCUCUCAGGUUUCUUAGCAUGGAUAGGACCAUAGCUGUGAUUCAUUGUAUUACUUUCACCAGCUUACAUUUCAACCACAGUUCCAGGACAGACUGUCUAUACAAUAGAGAAGCAGUUUUGAAUAUAAUUUUCCCAUCUGCAGUAUCUAUCUGCAAAGUAGACUGCAAUGCUGGCUUGAAGCUGACCCAGUUGGAGAGUAUCUGGAAGAAAAAUGGAGAUAAAUCAAGGGCUUCAAGUCACACAGAAAAGCAGUUUUCUUUCCCACGUGGAGAGAGAUUUGGAGCAGCUGUGGAGGCUGCUGUGGCAGCACAGAGUAGAGGAGGUGGCCAUGGAGGCCUAAACAGAAGCACUCCUGAUAUUCUGCCUGAAAACACACCAUUUCUAUCUGCCACAGAGGUGGAUGGGAUUUAUAGUUGAGAGACUACAGGCUGAUUUCAAACUGCCUUAAAUGCAAGAUAUCUGAUCUGGAGUGCUUCCCUUAUUAUCCAGCCUUUAUAUAGUUCAGACAUUGAUAGCAUUGAAUCUUUUUCAUUCUUCUUUUCUUCAUAUAUCAUAAACAUAUCUGGGAAUGUAAUUACUUUCCUCCUUCUUCUCACUAGAAAAGAUCAGAAAGUUUUCAAGAUUUAUGUAUGUGAUUUGAGUCACUUUGGGACAUCCAUUUUUGGCUGAACUCCUGUAAAACUCUAAGUGAAUUAGUUUCAUCCUUAGCCUUGUUACUUCUUGCUUCUAACACUUAGCCUAACUUAGAAAAACACUGUGGUCCAGGAGUGUGUCCAAAGAAGGAUAAUGAAGUUGCAAAAGGUCUGGUACAAAAGUCUUAUGAGGAGUGGCUGAGGGAACUGGAAUUGUUUAGUGUAGAGGGGCUCAGAGGAGACCUUAUCAGUCUCUACAACUACAUGAAAGGAGGUUGUAACAAGGUAGGGGUCAGCCUCUUUUCCUGAGUACAGUGAUAGAAUGAGAUAUUAAUAUCCUUAAGUUGAACCAGAGGAGGUUCAGGUUGGGUAUUAAGAAAAAUUUUUUCUCAGAAACAGUGAUGAGGUAUUGUAAGAGGCUGCUCAGGGAGAUGGUGGAGCUCUGGAGGUUUUCAAGAAAAUGGUAACAUGGUUUAUUGGGCAUGGUAGUGAUGACUUGACAGUUGGACUAGAUGAUCUCAGAGGUCUUUUCCAACAUUAAUGAUUCUGUGAUUCUAGGAGUAGGGGGAAUAUCAAAAGUAUGUGCUAGGAUAUGUUCUGAAUCCAGAGCUAGAUUUUCUUAAAUCCAAGGAGCAGCUGCCUUUUGGAUUGUGAUUUGAGUCUCUGUUUACAGCAGAACUAUAAGGUAUAGCGGAAAUCAAAUGUUGGUAUUUUGUUUUGGUAUAAACUCCUUUGCAGUAUUUGAGAAAAUAGAGCUGACCUCUGUGAGUUUAUCUCCUAAUAAAACAAGAUCAACUGCUUUCA
ensembl:lncRNA